UGAUUAUCAAUAUUUUCAAAUGAAAACUAACAAAUAACAAACUAACACUAAUGAAAAAUGCUUUUUCUAGUUCAUACAUGAAUACAUGAUAUAAGUUCUCAAGUUAAAAUUCAAAUCACGUGUAUAGCAACAUUUUCUCCUAAUGGAGGUCUACCAGCUAAUAACCGUUUGCUACCUUUUGUUAUACCUGCACUUCGUCGAGCUAUUGUGGUAGGUUGAACCUUAAUAGUUGCACCAUCUCUAUUUCUCAAUGGUACACAAUUCCCUGCUGUAUGUAAAAAAUUUUCCCAUUGCCCUUUGCUUUUAAUUUUUUUAAGCCUUUGUUCUAAUUUUUUUAUUCCCGUAGACGAUGACCCAUAUGAAGUAUUACACAGGUUUAAUAAGUUUAAUACAUUUUCAAAUUUGCUGCUAUCAUUUGAUUCUGAGCUGGAACUUGCUUCUACUUUUAAAAAUGGAUCAUAAAAUGACUUAUCCAAGACUUGUUCUCCAAAGGCAACUUUAGCUAUAUUAAAACGGUCUGUAGCAGUUAUAGAAGGAAAAUUAUCAGAUUUAAUAUUAAAAAAUUGAAAAAUAGCAUACUGAUGUUUACAAAACUUUCCAGCCAAGGCACUAGAACAUGAACAAAGACCACAUUUAAUAUUAACAUAAUAUAAUAAUGUUUGUUCUUGUUCACUUGGCACUAAAAAUUCAUAGUCAUUUUCUUGUACAAUCAUAUCUUCUUUUAAAUAUGUAACUUUCUUCAUCAUUUUUUGUAACAUUAAUCUGAUUGAGGAAUUUCUACUGUCUGCAAAUUCUCUUAGUCUUCUUUUAUAAUAAUCUUCUAAAGCUGUACUAGUUAAAUCUAUUAAAGCUAACACAUUGUACGCUUUUACUCUACCUAAAACAUGAUCUUUAUAAAGUCUAACUGCUACUUCACAGUAAUUGUUAGUUACAUGACCUCUAGAAUAACUGUCCCUAAAACAUAUACACCAUUUUUCUUUAUAUGUCCAAUAAUUACACAAAUAUUUUGUCCAUUGAUGCUAACCUUACUUAUUUGUAUUAUCUGUAUCUAAUAUUAUGUAAGUAUACUAUUCUUUAUUGCUAUAAUUGGAUAUUUACCUCAAUUAAUCCAACACCACUACGUGGACCUAAAUUCAAACUUCUCCAACCAUCAUACCAAAAACGAACCGUACGAUAACAUGGAUUAAUGCCUCCAUUAGCAAAAUGUUCCAACGUGAAAUCCUCUUUUAACUCCAAUAAUUGUUCAUGAUAUUUUUGUGAUUCAGUUAUACCCAUUCCAGAAUCAAAAUACUCAUAAAACAUAUUUUUUAAAUCAUCACCAGCCGGAAUAAAUCUGAGACUUUCAGCAGAUUUUAUAGUAUGGGUAUGAUGAUUAUAUAUUUCUAUACAACAUACUAAACCUUUCUGUAAUAUAAAUAUUAAAUAUCUAUUUAUUGUAAA